UAGGGAAUCUUCCGCAAUGGGCGAAAGCUUGACGGAGCAACGCCGCGUGAGUGAUGAAGGUCUUCGGAUCGUAAAACUCUGUUAUUAGGGAAGAACAAAUGUGUAAGUAACUAUGCACGUCUUGACGGUACCUAAUCAGAAAGCCACGGCUAACUACGUGCCAGCAGCCGCGGUAAUACGUAGGUGGCAAGCGUUAUCCGGAAUUAUUGGGCGUAAAGCGCGCGUAGGCGGUUUUUUAAGUCUGAUGUGAAAGCCCACGGCUCAACCGUGGAGGGUCAUUGGAAACUGGAAAACUUGAGUGCAGAAGAGGAAAGGGGAAUUCCAUGUGUAGCGGUGAAAUGCGCAGAGAUAUGGAGGAACACCAGUGGCGAAGGCGACUUUCUGGUCUGUAACUGACGCUGAUGUGCGAAAGCGUGGGGAUCAAACAGG
rnacentral:rRNA from 1 species